rnacentral:rRNA from 1 species
CCUUCGGCUGCUAAUAGNAUGCAAGUCGAGCGGACAGAUGGGAGCUUGCUCCCUGAUGUUAGCGGCGGACGGGUGAGUAACACGUGGGUAACCUGCCUGUAAGACUGGGAUAACUCCGGGAAACCGGGGCUAAUACCGGAUGCUUGUUUGAACCGCAUGGUUCAAACAUAAAAGGUGGCUUCGGCUACCACUUACAGAUGGACCCGCGGCGCAUUAGCUAGUUGGUGAGGUAAUGGCUCACCAAGGCGACGAUGCGUAGCCGACCUGAGAGGGUGAUCGGCCACACUGGGACUGAGACACGGCCCAGACUCCUACGGGAGGCAGCAGUAGGGAAUCUUCCGCAAUGGACGAAAGUCUGACGGAGCAACGCCGCGUGAGUGAUGAAGGUUUUCGGAUCGUAAAGCUCUGUUGUUAGGGAAGAACAAGUACCGUUCGAAUAGGGCGGUACCUUGACGGUACCUAACCAGAAAGCCACGGCUAACUACGUGCCAGCAGCCGCGGUAAUACGUAGGUGGCAAGCGUUGUCCGGAAUUAUUGGGCGUAAAGGGCUCGCAGGCGGUUUCUUAAGUCUGAUGUGAAAGCCCCCGGCUCAACCGGGGAGGGUCAUUGGAAACUGGGGAACUUGAGUGCAGAAGAGGAGAGUGGAAUUCCACGUGUAGCGGUGAAAUGCGUAGAGAUGUGGAGGAACACCAGUGGCGAAGGCGACUCUCUGGUCUGUAACUGACGCUGAGGAGCGAAAGCGUGGGGAGCGAACAGGAUUAGAUACCCUGGUAGUCCACGCCGUAAACGAUGAGUGCUAAGUGUUAGGGGGUUUCCGCCCCUUAUUGCUGCAGCUAACGCAUUAAGCACUCCGCCUGGGGAGUACGGUCGCAAGACUGAAACUCAAAGGAAUUGACGGGGGCCCGCACAACCGGUGGAGCAUGUGGUUUAAUUCAAAGCAACGCAAAGAACCUUACCAGGUCUUGACAUCCUCUGACAAUCCUAGAGAUAGGACGUCCCCUUCCGGGGCAGAAUGACAGGUGGUGCAUGGUUGUCGUCACCUCCUGUCCUGAAAUGUUGGGUUAAGUCCCGCAACCACCGCAACCCUUGAUCUUAUUUGCCACCAUUCAUUUGGGCCCCUUAAGGUAACUGCCCGGUAACAACCCGAAGAAAGUGGGGAUGACGUCAAUCCUCUGCCCCUUAAAACCCGCCUCCCCGGGGCCACAGGGGCGAAAAAAGGGCCAAAACCCCGAGGUUACCCCCCCCAAUUUUNNUUUUUAACGAACCCCACCCANNGGGAGGGGAACGGAAUAACAAAACCCCCCCGGGAAA